rnacentral:rRNA from 1 species
ACGGGAGGCAGCAGUGGGGAAUAUUGCACAAUGGGCGCAAGCCUGAUGCAGCCAUGCCGCGUGUAUGAAGAAGGCCUUCGGGUUGUAAAGUACUUUCAGCGAGGAGGAAGGUGUUGUGGUUAAUAACCGCAGCAAUUGACGUUACUCGCAGAAGAAGCACCGGCUAACUCCGUGCCAGCAGCCGCGGUAAUACGGAGGGUGCAAGCGUUAAUCGGAAUUACUGGGCGUAAAGCGCACGCAGGCGGUCUGUCAAGUCGGAUGUGAAAUCCCCGGGCUCAACCUGGGAACUGCAUCCGAAACUGGCAGGCUAGAGUCUUGUAGAGGGGGGUAGAAUUCCAGGUGUAGCGGUGAAAUGCGUAGAGAUCUGGAGGAAUACCGGUGGCGAAGGCGGCCCCCUGGACAAAGACUGACGCUCAGGUGCGAAAGCGUGGGGAGCAAACAAGAUUAGAUACCCUGGUAGUCCACGCCGUAAACGAUGUCGACUUGGAGGUUGUGCCCUUGAGGCGUGGCUUCCGGAGCUAACGCGUUAAGUCGACCGCCUGGGGAGUACGGCCGCAAGGUUAAAACUCAAAUGAAUUGACGGGGGCCCGCACAAGCGGUGGAGCAUGUGGUUUAAUUCGAUGCAACGCGAAGAACCUUACCUACUCUUGACAUCCACGGAACUUGGCAGAGAUGCCUUGGUGCCUUCGGGAACCGUGAGACAGGUGCUGCAUGGCUGUCGUCAGCUCGUGUUGUGAAAUGUUGGGUUAAGUCCCGCAACGAGCGCAACCCUUAUCCUUUGUUGCCAGCGGUUAGGCCGGGAACUCAAAGGAGACUGCCAGUGAUAAACUGGAGGAAGGUGGGGAUGACGUCAAGUCAUCAUGGCCCUUACGAGUAGGGCUACACACGUGCUACAAUGGCAUAUACAAAGAGAAGCGACCUCGCGAGAGCAAGCGGACCUCAUAAAGUAUGUCGUAGUCCGGAUUGGAGUCUGCAACUCGACUCCAUGAAGUCGGAAUCGCUAGUAAUCGUGGAUCAGAAUGCCACGGUGAAUACGUUCCCGGGCCUUGUACACACCGCCCGUCACACCAUGGGAGUGGGUUGCAAAAGAAGUAGGUAGCUUAACCUUCGGGAGGGCGCUUACCACUUUGUGAUU